rnacentral:tRNA from 1 species
AUUUUUAUAGUGUAAUUAACAUAUUACAUUUUCAUUGUAAAGCUGAAAUUUUUUUCUAAAAAUA